rnacentral:rRNA from 1 species
AGUGAACGCUGGCGGUAGGCCUAACACAUGCAAGUCGAACGGCAGCACAGUAAGAGCUUGCUCUUACGGGUGGCGAGUGGCGGACGGGUGAGGAAUACAUCGGAAUCUACUUUUUCGUGGGGGAUAACGUAGGGAAACUUACGCUAAUACCGCAUACGACCUACGGGUGAAAGCAGGUGAUCUUCGGACCUUUCGCGAUUGAAUGAGCCGAUGUCGGAUUAGCUAGUUGGCGGGGUAAAGGCCCACCAAGGCGACGAUGCGUAGCUGGUCUGAGAGGAUGAUCAGCCACACUGGAACUGAGACACGGUCCAGACGCCUACGGGAGGCCGCAGUGGGGAAUAGUGGACAAUGGGAGCAAGCGUGAUACAGCCAUACCGCGUGGGUGAAGAAGGCCUUCGGGUUGUAAAGCUCUUUUGUUGUGAAAGAAAAGCAGCAGGUUAAUACCCCGUUGUUCUGACGGUACCCAAAGAAUAAGCACCGGCUAACUUCGUG